GAAACACGGACCAAGGAGUUCAACUGGAAUGCGAGUCGUAGAGUUAUAAAACUCAUUUCGGCGAAGCGAAAGCGAAAUUUGCGCGAAUCAUUCUUGAAAUGAUGCAGCGCGGGCUGAUAACGUAUGUCACGUAGAGCUUGCUGUGCGUGCACCUGCUAAUUUUUUUAGCAGAACUUAUCAAGCUAAAGAGCAAUUUAGUUGAGACCCGAAAGAUGGUGAACUAUGCUCGGACAUGGUGAAGCCAGGUGAAAACUUGGUGGAAGCUUGCGUUGUGCGGAACUGACGUGCAAAUCGUUACCGCCUGACCUGAGUAUAGGGGCGAAAGACUCAUCAAACCAUCUAGUAGCUGGUUCCCUCCGAAGUUUCCCUCAGGAUAGCUCGAUAAUAUAACCGAGUAACACAAGGGUAAAGCAAUGAGACGCGGUAUCUGUGGGUCUUAUUUAAAUGACCUCGGCCUUCUCUCAAACUUUAAAUCUGUGCGAAAACAUAUUUUGUUUACUUAAAAGCAUAUUUUAUGCGUGAAACUAUGUUUCAUAUCUAACAAUUCGUAGUGGGCCAUUUCUGGUAAGCAGAACUGGCGAUGAGGGAUUCAACCUGACGUUUUCAAGAUAAGCCGGGCUUAAUCAUAUCUGCUCCAACCUUCCGAUAAACGCGA
rnacentral:rRNA from 1 species